UGUUUACAAAUUUUUUUUAAAAAAACUCAGAUUAUCUGAUAAAUUUUAUAAUCAAGGUUAGAGAAGUGCAAAUGUACUAAAUAACAGUGUGAAUUGACUUUUAUUAAUAUUUUAAUAGUAUUUAAAUUGAAUACUUGUAUCAUUAUCUAAACUAAUUACUAGUGAGGGACAGUUUUGAAAGUUUAUUUGUUGUACAUUUCAUCACAUUAAAGUGCUCUUUCAAAAAAUUUUAAAAAAUUCAGGAUAAAAUGAACAUUUUCACUGAUUCAUAAUAACCUAUCUAAAUUAAAUAGAUGUUUGGUAGGGAGAUAGAAAUUAACGGCGAGAAUAUAUUUAUAAGAUAGUAUUUGUAAUGAUAUUUGUGAUAUAAUCAAAUUUAUAGGAAUAUUUAUAAUAUUUUGAACGUUUAGAGGGGUAUGAAUGAAAUUAACCCUUCAUUAGUAAUAAUUGGAACAUUUUAAAGGGCAAUUAUGAAAAGGAUAAAAUCGGUAUUUUGAUUAUGAAAAGGGUAAAAUUGAUAUUUUGAUUGUUGUUAUUGUAGAUUUUAACAAAAAUGUAUUUUGAAGGAUAUUUUUGAAAGUUUUCUAUAUUUGGAGGGGCAUUUAGGAUAUUUCAAUUUUU
rnacentral:lncRNA from 1 species